CAGAUGUAUGUGCUUAUGGGAACAAUUUUGGUAGCAGCUGUUAUUUGUUCUCCAUCACACAAAAAACCUGGUACAACAGCAAAGCAGAAUGUGAAAAACGUGGUGCCCACCUGGUGAUUAUAUCUAGUGAAGAUGAACAGAAAUUCAUCACCAGCAAGAUCAGUGUGGCACACUGGAUUGGUCUGACCAAUGAACAGCCACAUGGUACUUGGAAAUGGGUAAAUGGAGAGCCACUAAAGACACCGUACUGGUGGCAUAAUCAACCGGAUUUACCUGAUGAAAACUGUGUUACAGCUGGAGGAGUGGAGGAUCAGAAAAACUGGAAUAAUCUUUAUUGUACACGAGUCAGGAAUUGGAUCUGUGAAAAAAAUAUAUAAAUAAAGUUAACAUUAAAUUGGAGUUCCAUAUCGGUUUCACGUGGGAGCGGAUUAGAUGGAUACAGAUGAUCCACUGUGGCAAUCCCCAAACAGGAGCAGCCAGAAGACAAAAAGACAGACUCUUGUGACUGUUUUUUUCUUUCUCAAAUGAUUAUUACAGUAUCACCUUCACCUUUCCCUUGUUGCUGUUGAGACAAUGCUACACUUAUUUCUAGACAUGCCAGUGGUGUUAAGUUCUUUUAUGUGGUGAGUGAUCUCAAAAAGAAUUGGACAGGAAACAGACUUCAAAGUUUAGAUGUUGUUUUGAAAAAGUUCAAACACUGAUACAGCUACAUCUGGGACAAAGAGCCCAGAUUUCCUUUCUAUGCUAACUUUUGUUCCUCCAGCCGACCCCAUGGGGGCAGUCCUUAGCCUGUCGUGAAUCAGCAGUUAUGUGAUUGGUUACAAAGUGAGGUGAGCGGAUAUAAGGGGGUGUCUGCUCACGUUAUGUACAAGGUUGUUAUGUAAAAAUCUUAAAGUGUUUGUGGAUGUCGAUGCCAAACAAUAAAUCAGUGUUCCAUCAUGCUGUCCAAAUAGAUCUGAAUACUUUGCUUUUAUCAAUUACACAGUUA